GUCACCUGUGCAGUGCUGCAGUCAUGGCUCACUACAGCCUUGAACUCCUGGCUUCAAGGGAUCCUUCCAUCCAAGCCUCCUGAGUAGUUAGGAACUAUACUGCACCCAGCUGAAUUUUUUAUUUUUUAAGAGAUGAGGUCUGGUAUUGAACAUCUGGCCUCAAAUGAUCCUCCUGCCUCAGCCUCCCAAAGUGCUGGGAUUACAGGCAUGAGCUGCUGUGCCUGGCAAGACUUUUUUUUUUUUUUUUUUUGCUUCAUUUGAUAAUCUGCAUUUGCUGCAGCCUCGAUAAGCUUUUUGAGAGGGGACAAGGCCUGCAUAUUUAAAGCAGGGGUCACAAGCUUACAGGAAUGAAUUGCCGAAGGGUCCUGGUCUAAGACAAUAGGCUUGGUGGAUCUGCAGUCAGCCAGAGCAGAUAGGAAAACUGAGGCUUGGAGAGCUACAAUAGGCCUGCCCAGGGCCUUACCAGACUUCCAAGAUGGUGUCAUUCCUUUCAAGGGCCUGCAGGAGGGCUUCUGCCCCUAGGUAGGUGAUGCAGUUUUUGGACAACCUGGAGAAGAAGACAGAAUGGUGAGCUUCAAGGAUUCUUGGUUUUCCUCUUGAAACUGUCCAGUUAAACAGACUUUAGGAGUUAGCCAGCCUACUGAAGCCCACCUGUCCGCUAGACAUACCCCACUCAUGUCUGAGAUUCCCAAUGAGCUCAACAACAAAGGCUCAGUCACUUCAGUGAAAUGUACCCAUCUCUCUUCCAUUCACCAGAUGAGUUUAUCAACUUAAGUAGUCACUCCCUUAGGAUAGUGGUUAAGUAUCUGCAUUUUAGUGCUAGACUUCCUGGGUUUAAAUCUCAUCUACACCACUUCCAUUUUGCUCUCAAGUAUAUUAGUCCCAAUGUCCUCAUUGGUAAAAUGGGCCUAAAAGAGUACCCAUGUCACUGAGCAUAAGAAUUGAAAUUGUGAUGGCCAUAAGCAGGCUCCUGUUCAUAUCUGUCAUCCUUUUGGCACAAGUCCCUGGCCACUAAGUCAGCCACCAGUGCCCCCAUCAUCUCCCCACACUCUGCUUGCUGGGAAGAACCUCCACUCUCUGCAUACCUAAAACACUUACACAGAACUUGGUAUGGUUUGGUUGUGUCCCCAGCCAAAUCUCAUCUUGAAUUCCCACCAGGUGGAAGUGAAUGCUCAUGGCCUAUAAUGAGGGUCCAGCCAUUAUCUCCAUUUACACUUGAGGCAACUGAGGCACUCAUCCAAGGAGAACCAGCUGGUAAUGGUGGAGCUGGGGCAAGACCCAGGCUGCCUGCUUCCAGAGCCUGGACUCUUAACCAACUGUCAGCAGAAACUAAGUCUGAAAAAGAAAGAUGCAGGUCCCAAGCCACUGAGUCAGACACUGGAGAAGGCUACAGUGGUCCCCACCAUAUCACCUCCCCAGCCACUGCUUGUGGAGAAGACCUGCCACUCUCUGCCUGAGGCCGUUCUCCUGACCCCGAAAACAUGUUCUUCUGGGUGACGUCCUUCUGCGAGAGAACAUACACCUUCAUCCUGGAGAUGGUUCUCCUCCAGGCUGUGAGAACAAGAAAGAAAAUCCAGCUGAUACGACAAUGUUGAUUAUGGAAGAUGAUGUCUAUAGAUGAACUCACAGGCCCCCCAUACAGGAAAUCCAACAUCUGACACCCCAAACUUAUAAAUAAAGAAAUAACAGA